rnacentral:lncRNA from 1 species
CCGAGUGCAGAGCCAGGGCCCAGCACGCAGGCCUUGGGCUCCAGUCCCUGUCCCCCACAUCUGGAAUGUGCCAGCAGGGCCCAGUGCGAGAGAAGAGCAGAUCCCUACGUGAGUGAGGGUGGAGGAAUGGUGCCUCUGCCAUGGCCACGGUGCCGCCGUCCACAUCAGCUCACUCUCAGCACAGAUGCUGUGUGAAGGCCUCGGGCCACGCCGCUUGUUCUGAGGGCCCCAGCGGGUCGGGCUCUUGCUGUGCUGGCUGCACAUUGACUAGCUGGUGAGCUUGGCGGGUCUGUGGGCACAGAGAGACCAGAACCCGCAUAACAGGCCCAAUGAGGAUGCCAGGCUGCAGAGGAGAGGGGCACCAGCCAGGGGCCCUGCACAGACAGCUUCAGAGAGAGGAAAGCUCACAACGUGGGAGAACUCCAGGCCUGGCCCAGCGAAGACGUCCUUGUCUUCAGCAGACGUUGCCCAGUGCAAGGGGAGCUCCAGACUGACUUUCUGAGGUCACAGACGGAGCCUCACCCCAUCCAAGGCGGUGUCCUGGACUCCCACUGUGCUCCCCAGAGGGCAGGGUACCUGGGGCCCAGCCCGGGCAGCAGGAGGGACUCAGCCCCUCACCCAGGGAGGAAGGGUCCCAAGCAGAGGCCCCUCCUUCCUGUACUCCCCAGCCCACACCUGCAGCACUGGGACCAAGAUUAAUAAAACACCCGCCUCACGGAAGACAGCUUUAUCUUGUUGAUCGGAAGUCUGCCAGCCCAAUUUAUGAUGGAACAUAAGAUCUCCAAAUCUGAAUUUAUGCGCUGUAGGGUAACGAGAGGUCAAUAAGAUUAAACGGGGGCUCAGGAGAGGACCAGCGUCAGGCUCACUGCGAGGUGCUGCACAGAAAACCCACAGCCAGAGCCCCUGGGCCCAGCCCAGGCAAGACCAGAAAGGGAGGGGGCAGGUGGGAGACCAGCCUGGGGCUCCCGGGAAGCCUACGGGAUGGAAGCGGGAGAGCCAGGAGGCCUGGGGCAACCCUGGGACGGUUCCUGGAUCGAGGAGAGCAGGGGGGUGAUGAGGGUUCCCUCAGGGCUGGGGAGCCUUCUCCUGGUCUCAGACCCACCCCCCCUUCAGCUCCCAAGCCCUGGGUGCCCCUGGCUCAGAACAGUUGGGAAUCUUCCCUGAGGCAGGUUCAAGGACAGAGCUCUGACCCUGGCCCAGGGCUGCUUUGGGUGCCCAUGAACUUGGCUUCUGGCUCAGAGCAGUUCCCUGCACCCAUUCCUGAGCCCUCUGUCCUCUGGAACCCAUGGGCAGGGUGAGGGACGGGUGCUCCGUCUGGGUGGGGGCCUGGGCGCCCAGCCAGCACGAGGCUGGCUUGCUGAGCUUAGGGCAGACCCCGACUUCAGAAUUUAUACAAAUAAACGCAAUGAAAAGUGCUGGCAG